CCUACGGGAGGCAGCAGUGAGGAAUAUUGGUCAAUGGGCGAGAGCCUGAACCAGCCAAGUCGCGUGAAGGAUGAUGGCCCUAUGGUUUGUAAACUUCUUUUAUAUGGGACUAAAAUGAUCAACGUGUGCCAUUUUGUAUGUACCAUAUGAAUAAGCAUCGGCUAACUCCGUGCCAGCAGCCGCGGUAAUACGGAGGAUCCGAGCGUUAUCCGGAUUUAUUGGGUUUAAAGGGGGCGUAGGUGGUUAGUUAAGUCAGCGGUGAAAGUUUGUGGCUCAACCCUAAAAUUGCCGUUGAAACUGGUUGACUUGAGUACAGUAGAGGUAGGCGGAAUGCGUGGUGUAGCGGUGAAAUGCAUAGAUAUCACGAAGAACUCCGAUUGCGAAGGCAGCUUACUAGACUGCAACUGACACUGAGGCACGAAAGCGUGGGGAUCAAACAGGAUUAGAUACCCUUGUAGUC
rnacentral:rRNA from 1 species